rnacentral:rRNA from 1 species
GGUCCUGAAGGAACGUUGAAGACGACGACGUUGAUAGGUCGGGUGUGUAAGCGCAGCGAUGCGUUGAGCUAACCGAUACUAAUGAACCGUGAGGCUUAACCUU